UUCUCCUUUGGAUGUUGACCUGUGGGCUGCGUGAUGCGGACGCACAAGUGUCUGGCAGGCCAAGGUGCACCUGCUUCUGUCAGUCCCGAGUAAAUUUAGCUGUAAAAGGUAUCACUGACAAGCAGGACCUUUGUCAGCACUGGCAAACCAACACAGCAUUGCCGUCCCCCUUCAAAGUACUCUGCGAGUUCAAAUGGAAAAUAUCAAAUCAGUCGUCUUAGCCAGGAACCGCUUCUUCGAGAAGAAGGAAGGCCAAAUUGCUUGCACGUGGCAAAAAACCUUCCUCCUUUACAUAGAUGUUAAAAUUACAGUAUUCCAAGAAUAAUCUCUGAACAAGACGGGGUUUUGUUCUAUUAAUUGUGGCUGGAAGGAAACUUUUUUUAAUGGAAGUACAGCACACACAUAUUUCAAUUCAGGUUAUUAAACUGUGUUAAGUAUUAAAGUUGAUUGCCUUUCUUUUCACUAACUCAUUGUGCUUUUUUAUCCAAAGAAAUAUUAGAAGACUAAAGCCUCUCAAAUAGGAGGUAUUAAUCUCAUUCCCAAAAUUAGAAAGCAUGCAGUGUUGAGAGGCUGGAUGUCAAAAUUACAUGUUCGUAGCACUUAUGCAGUGGGAAUCUAGGAGCCAACCACUUUUAAAAUGGGAGCUAAAGUAAAUGGAGACUCUUCUGAGAGAAGCAAUCAAAACUUGGUGUUCUUAUCCUUAUUGGAUUAAGGGGCACCCUUUCAGAUAAAAACAUGGACCUGAUUGGCAUCAUCCUGUAUCCAUGGAAACGUUUUAAGUACCUCUCUCUCAAUAUGUACUUCUCUUAUUCAGGGUUUAAAAGCUGAGUACCAAAUAAGUAAGUGUUUUUAUUUAAUAAUUAUACAGGAGGUACUUUGUGGAAGCUUGCUUCCUCAGGUUUGUAUCUGUCAUAAUAAAGGUCUUAUGUUUUCAUCAUA